rnacentral:rRNA from 1 species
UACGUAGGUGGCAAGCGUUGUCCGGAUUUAUUGGGCGUAAAGCGAGUGCAGGCGGUUCAAUAAGUCUGAUGUGAAAGCCUUCGGCUCAACCGGAGAAUUGCAUCAGAAACUGUUGAACUUGAGUGCAGGAGAGGGUGGCGGAACUCCAUGUGUAGCGGUAAAAUGCGUAGAUAUAUGGAAGAACACCAGUGGCGAAGGCGGCUCUCUGGUCUGUAACUGACGCUGAGGCUCGAAAGCAUGGGUAGCGAACA